GGGGCCGUAGCUCAGCUGGGAGAGCGGUACGUUCGCAACGUACAGGUCAUGGGUUCGAAUCCCAUCGGCUCCA
rnacentral:tRNA from 2 species